CUACGGGAGGCUCCAGUGAGGAAUAUUGCGCAAUGGACGAAAGUCUGACGCAGCCAUGCCGCGUGCAGGAUGACGGCGCUAUGCGUUGUAAACUGCUUUUAUAUGCCAAGAAACCUUCGGACGUGUCCGAAGCUGACGGUAGCAUAUGAAUAAGCACCGGCUAACUCCGUGCCAGCAGCCGCGGUAAUACGGAGGGUGCAAGCGUUAUCCGGAUUUAUUGGGUUUAAAGGGUCCGUAGGCGGAUCAUUAAGUCAGUGGUGAAAGCCGGCAGCUCAACUGUCGAACUGCCAUUGAUACUGGUGAUCUUGAAUACGGUUGAAGUUGGCGGAAUAGGUCAUGUAGCGGUGAAAUGCUUAGAUAUGACCUAGAACACCGAUUGCGAAGGCAGCCAACUAAGCCGUUAUUGACGCUGAGGGACGAAAGCGUGGGGAGCAAACAGGAUUAGAUACCCGCGUAGUC
rnacentral:rRNA from 1 species